UCCCGGUUGGUGUAGGCGGCAGCACCACGGACUUUGGAUCCGUUGGCCCCAGGUUCGAGUCCUGGACCGGGAG
rnacentral:tRNA from 1 species